rnacentral:rRNA from 1 species
GAUGAACGCUGGCGGCGUGCUUAACACAUGCAAGUCGAACGAUGAAGCCCAGCUUGCUGGGUGGAUUAGUGGCGAACGGGUGAGUAACACGUGAGUAACCUACCCUUAACUCUGGGAUAAGCCUGGGAAACUGGGUCUAAUACCGGAUAGGAGCGCCUACCGCAUGGUGGGUGUUGGAAAGAUUUAUCGGUUUUGGAUGGACUCGCGGCCUAUCAGCUUGUUGGUGAGGUAAUGGCUCACCAAGGCGACGACGGGUAGCCGGCCGGAGAGGGUGACCGGCCACACUGGGACUGAGACACGGCCCAGACUCCUACGGGAGGCAGCAGUGGGGAAUAUUGCACAAUGGGCGAAAGCCUGAUGCAGCGACGCCGCGUGAGGGAUGACGGCCUUCGGGUUGUAAACCUCUUUCAGUAGGGAAGAAGCGAAAGUGACGGUACCUGCAGAAGAAGCACCGGCUAACUACGUG